UACGGAGGGUGCAAGCGUUGCUCGGAAUUAUUGGGCGUAAAGGGUAGGUAGGUGGUCUCAUUUGUCUGGGGUGAAAGCCUUGAGCUUAACUCAAGAAGUGCCCUAGAAACGGUGAGACUAGAGUUCUGGAGAGGGUCGUGGAAUUCCCGGUGUAGCGGUGAAAUGCGUAGAGAUCGGGAGGAACACCAGAGGCGAAGGCGGCGACCUGGACAGAUACUGACACUCAACUACGAAAGCGUGGGGAGCGAACAGG
rnacentral:rRNA from 1 species